rnacentral:rRNA from 1 species
CAGCCGCCGCGGGAAUACGAAGGGCGCAAGCGUUACUCGGAAUUACUGGGCGUAAAGCGUGCGUAGGUGGUGGUUUAAGUCCGUCGUGAAAGCCCUGGGCUCAACCUGGGAAUUGCAGUGGAUACUGGGUCACUAGAGUGUGGUAGAGGAUAGUGGAAUUUCCGGUGUAGCAGUGAAAUGCGUAGAGAUCGGAAGGAACAUCUGUGGCGAAGGCGACUAUCUGGGCCAACACUGACACUGAGGCACGAAAGCGUGGGGAGCAAACAGGAUUAGAUACCCGAGUAGUCCCUGUCUCUUAUAA